AGGAAAUUGUAGAAGACAAGAAUUCCAUUGCUGCAUGUUUCAGAAGAAUGAAAGUGAGAGAGCAUACCAUUGCAAUAGAUGUAAAUGAAAAACUUGAUGUGAUUAAAGGGCUUGGAGAAGGAGUAGAGACAAAGUUAUCACAAAGACCACAAUUGGCAGAGUUAACUGCAUACAGUCACUCAUUGAUAGAAGGAUUACAAGCAAGAGUAGCUAAUCUCAAGCUUUCUAGGAAAAUACCUAAAAUGGGUUCAAU